rnacentral:rRNA from 1 species
UGGGGAAUCUUGCGCAAUGGGCGAAAGCCUGACGCAGCAACGCCGCGUGAGGGAAGAAGGCCUUCGGGUUGUAAACCUCUUUCAGAGGGGACGAAGCUUCCGGGGUUAAUAGCCCACGGGGUGACGGUACCCUCAGAAGAAGCCCCGGCUAACUACGUGCCAGCAGCCGCGGUAAUACGUAGGGGGCAAGCGUUGUCCGGAAUCAUUGGGCGUAAAGCGCGUGUAGGCGGCUUGGUCAGUCUGGCGUGAAACCUUGGGGCUCAACCCCAAGCCUGCGCUGGAUACUGCCUCGCUCGAGUCCGGGAGAGGGAAGCGGAAUUCCCAGUGUAGCGGUGAAAUGCGCAGAUAUUGGGAAGAACACCGGUGGCGAAGGCGGCUUCCUGGAACGGUACUGACGUUGAGACGCGAAAGCGUGGGGAGCGAACA